GUUAAAUCAAGAACCUUAUAUUUCAUAAAAGGCAAAGGUAAAUCAAGAACCUUAUAUUUCAUAAAAGAAUACAUAUUCCCUGUUGGUGGUAGAUGCCUUCUUUCUUUAGCCAGAGUUACUUCAGCCAUGGCAUCUUCUUCUAGGCUAUGGUAAAGACUUUUCUUUACCAAGUGUUUAGUUUCAAUGCAGUUUCUCUACUUUUUCUUUCCUUCCAUCCAGGGCCGGCCCUAAAUAAAAAUCAGCACUGAAAACUUUGAGAACAUUGGGAUUCAUUACUACCAAACAUUGAGAUGCUGGAGGAAGACCACCUUGAAGAGACAGAAGUAAGCUAAUUACUAAAAAAAACAUUUCCUCUGUUUUAUGUUCUGCUACUCAUAUGCUUGCUCUCACAUGUCCAACUUUAAACUUUGCAGACAAAUAAAUGAUGUUGGAUUCGACGAUAAAUUCAUAAGAACAUGGGAAUAUUAUUUUGACUACUGCGCAGCUGGUUUCUAGACUCUUACCCUUGGAAACUAUCAGGUAGUUUUCUCACGUCCUGGAAAUGUGGCUGCACUUGGGGAUCCAUUCCGCAGCUUCCCUUCUGCUCAAGAAUAAUCAAGAAUAUAUGAAUAAUUAGUUUUAACUUUCUUAAAGUACUACUUUAAUUUCUUGUGUUGUUUCCUAUAAUUUGUUUGCGUGUGAAAGUACAUAUAUGUAAACAUGUAAAAAUAUAUGGUUCCAUGAUUCUCUAGCAACAAUAUUGCAUUAUCAAUUCAUUCUACAUCAAAAUUUAUAAGAAAA